CCUACGGGUGGCAGCAGUGAGGAAUAUUGCUCAAUGGUCGGGAGACUGAACCAGCCACGCCGCGUGAGGGAUGAAGGUACAGAGUAUCGUAAACCUCUUUUGUCAGGGAACAAAGGCGGGGACGCGUCCCCGGAUGAGUGUACCUGAAGAAAAAGCAUCGGCUAACUCCGUGCCAGCAGCCGCGGUAAUACGGGGGAUGCGAGGGUUAUCCGGAUUGAUUGGGGUAAAGGGGUGCGCAGGCGGUCGGUUAGGUCAGCGGGAAAAGCCCGGGGCGAAACCCAGACCCGCCGUUGAAUCUGGCAGUCUCGAGUUGGAGAGAGGUAUGCGGAAUGCGCGGUGUAGCGGUGAAAUGCAUAGAUAUCGCGCAGAACUCCGAUUGCGAAGGCAGCAUGCCGGCUCCACACUGACGCUGAGGCACGAAAGCGUGGGUAUCGAACAGGAUUAGAUACCCUUGUAGUC
rnacentral:rRNA from 1 species